UUGUCUCAAAGAUUAAGCCAUGCAUGUCUCAGUACAAGCCACAUUAAGGUGAAACCGCGAAAGGCUCAUUAAAUCAGUUAUGGUUCCUUAGAUCGUACCCACAUUUACUUGGAUAACUGUGGUAAUUCUAGAGCUAAUACAUGCAAACAGAGUUCCGACCGGAGACGGGAGGAAUGCUUUUAUUAGAUCAAAACCAAUCGGCGGCGGUUGCGUUCGCGCUGCCGUUCGCCGCUCAACCUGGUGACUCUGAAUAACUUUCGGCUGAUCGCACGGUCUAGCACCGGCGACGCAUCUUUCAAAUGUCUGCCUUAUCAACUGUCGAUGGUAGGUUCUGCGCCUACCAUGGUCGUAACGGGUAACGGGGAAUCAGGGUUCGAUUCCGGAGAGGGAGCCUGAGAAACGGCUACCACAUCCAAGGAAGGCAGCAGGCGCGCAAAUUACCCACUCCCGGCACGGGGAGGUAGUGACGAAAAAUAACGAUACGGGACUCAUCCGAGGCCCCGUAAUCGGAAUGAGUACACUUUAAAUCCUUUAACGAGGAUCAAUUGGAGGGCAAGUCUGGUGCCAGCAGCCGCGGUAACUCCAGCUCCAAUAGCGUA
rnacentral:rRNA from 1 species